CCUACGGGUGGCUGCAGUGGGGAAUAUUGGACAAUGGGGGGAACCCUGAUCCAGCCAUGCCGCGUGUGUGAAGAAGGCCCUCGGGUUGUAAAGCACUUUCAGUGAGGAAGAACGCCUGGUGGUUAAUACCCAUCAGGAAAGACAUCACUCACAGAAGAAGCACCGGCUAACUCCGUGCCAGCAGCCGCGGUAAUACGGAGGGUGCGAGCGUUAAUCGGAAUUACUGGGCGUAAAGCGCGCGUAGGUGGCUUGAUAAGCCGGUUGUGAAAGCCCCGGGCUCAACCUGGGAACGGCAUCCGGAACUGUCAAGCUAGAGUGCAGGAGAGGAAGGUAGAAUUCCCGGUGUAGCGGUGAAAUGCGUAGAGAUCAGGAGGAAUACCAGUGGCGAAGGCGGCCUUCUGGACUGACACUGACACUGAGGUGCGAAAGCGUGGGUAGCAAACAGGAUUAGAUACCCUGGUAGUC
rnacentral:rRNA from 1 species